GUCACCAACAUCCCACCUCAUCCACACCCAAAUUCUGUCUUCAGCUCUGAUUUUGCAAAUGUUCCGAGAAGAAAAAACGUGACUGUGCCAUUCUGAUCACUUGCUCUGGGGUAGCUGGCUGCCAUGUCCUGAGGAAUCUUCAGAAUCUCUAUGGAGAAGCCUACCUGGUGAGGAACAGAAGUCUUUGGCUGAUAGCCAGUGAGGACGGAGGCCUGCUGCCAACAGUGACAUGAGUGACCUUGGAAGUGAGUCUGCUAGCCCCAGCCAAACUUUCAGAUAACUGCAGCCCUACUGACAUCUUGAUGGCAGCUUCAUGAGAGACCCUGAUCAACAACCACCCAGCUAAGUUGCUCUUGAAUUCCUGACCAACAGAAACAGUGAAUGAGAGUUCCUCUUGACCCAUACAUAUCCUUACCAGCAUUUGGUAUUUCAGUGCUCUGGAUUUUCACCAUUCUAAGAGAGAGAGACACAGUGAGAGAG